UACGUAGGCAGCGAGCGUUGUUCGGAAUUACUGGGCGUAAAGAGUGUGUAGGUGGUGUCGUAAGUUUGGUGUGAAAUCUCCCGGCUCAACUGGGAGGGUGCGCCGAAGACUGCGAUGCUGGAGUAUGGGAGAGGAAAGCGGAAUUCCUGGUGUAGCGGUGAAAUGCGUAGAUAUCAGGAGGAACACCUGCGGUGUAGACGGCUUUCUGGACCAUUACUGACACUGAGACACGAAAGCGUGGGUAGCAAACAGG
rnacentral:rRNA from 1 species